CAGUGCAGGGAGAAGGUGGAAGUGCAGAGUGGGCUCUGCGGUGGCCAUGCUCACCUCUCGCCC
rnacentral:miRNA from 1 species